rnacentral:lncRNA from 1 species
CUGGGGCAAACGACACAAGUCAGCAUUUAGUUUCUUGCUUUAGGAAGCGGAAGACUAAUGACCGAAGCUUCAAGACUUUGACAUGUGUGAAAACAUGAAAUGACCCUUGGCUCUUAUUGUUCUUGCUGGUGUGGUAUGUUCACGGCUGAAAAGAUGGUCAGAAGGGGAAAGGAGGAAGUGAGAAGAAAGAAACAGGGAAAUGCAGGCUGAGGAAUUACCAAGGAGGCAGGAGGUGGAGCAAAACACACCAAGCCUGGUGCCAAUCAUUGACAAUAUUAUGACCCUGCAUGUGAUGGAUCAGCUGACACCAUCCAGAUCGGUAAACUGGUUCAUCUGAUCUUGUGCCCUCCACCCAGGAACUGACUCAGCGCAAGAAGACAGCUUCGACUCCUUGUGAUUUCAUCCCUAACCAAUCAGCACUCCUGGCUCACUGGCUUCCCCCAACCCACCAAAUUGUCCUUAAAAACUCUGCUCUCCAAACGCUGGGGGAGACUGAUUUGAGUAAUAAUAAAACCCUGGUCUCCUGCACA